rnacentral:lncRNA from 1 species
AAAAAAAAAAAUCAAAAAAGAGUAAUAAAAUCCCAUCGAUAGCUCCCACCUUCUGCCCCCAUCCUUUGAUUUUCUAAGCUCUCUUUAUGAAUUAUUACCUUAAAAGCAUCAUUCUUGUGCAUCUGCCUUGGAGAUUUUCCAGAUUCUCAACCUCACUUAAGCUGAGAUGAUUUUAAAUUUCAAGAUAUGGGUACAAAUUUUUCCAGUAACUUUUGAAUAUUACUUUUCAUCUUUUAUAAACAAAAGUUUCAUUCACUAUAGGGAACAAGAAUUUAUCGACCAUUUAUUUAUCACACUGUUCAAAUAAAAGUCACGUAAGACUUUCCCACUCAGCUUUCGGAAACUCCGUUUCUUCCUUUCCGUGAUAGAAUUCAAAGCCUACUAACUUACCUCGAGAAAUUGAAAGGGUUGUGGCCGGUCCUCUUCAGAGAUGGUCACCAGCCCUCUUCCCACCCUCUACACGCGGCUGCUCUUUCCAUCAAGAGGUGGAGUCAUCUCCCCUGCCACUGAAACUCCAUCAGCCUUAUGGCUUAUAUUCAUCAAUUAAAUGUGAUGAAAAUGACCCGACGCCAGUUCUAGGCCACAGCCUUCAAAGGCCUGGCAGCUUUUGCUUUCACCUCCCUGGAGCCUUGCACUGCAGUGUGCAGUAAGCUUGACUUGAGUCGAGCUCUCCUGAUGAGAGAGAAGCCCCGUGGAGGACCACGGGUGCCCAGCGAUGGGCAGCAACGAGGUCAUGAGUGUGGCCAUCUUGGAUUCUUUAGCCUUUCCUGAGUCUAGCUCACACUAGGUGGAUCAGAGAUGAGAGAUUUCCACUGAGCUGCAACUGAAGACCCACAGAAUGACUUUUUUUAAAAUGUUUUGGCCAUGACCGCAGUAUGUGGUAGUUCCAGGGCCAGGGAUCAGACCUGUACCACAGCAGCAAUCUAAGCUCCAGCAGCAGUAAUGCCAGAUCCUUAACCCACUGCACCACCUGGAAACUCCCAGAAAGGCUGUUUUAAGUGACUCAUUUCAGGUGUAAUUUGUGACAUAGCUGUAGAAAACUGAUACAAGGAGGGAAGGUGAAGUCCUUUUUCUGUGCUCAGUAUUGUCUGUGUUUGAACUUGAAAUGCUAGUUUCUCUGCCUGUUAAAAUUCUGCCCAUCCGCAGAAGCUGCCCAGAGGUUCAAGUACAGGCUGUUUCCAGGUUGUUUCCUCCCCCAGGGCUAGGUUUAAAAUGGGCCUGGAACACAUUUGUUCCAGAAAUUCUUUCAUAUGCCAGAAAGUAAGGAAGUGCUCAAAAAAAAACAAUAGGGGCACAGCCCAAGGGAACAGGUGCCAGCUUGAAGGCUCCUGAUGGCCCAAUCUGGGACAGUUUCUCUCCAAAUAAUGAAAAGCAAUAAUAAACAAUGUAAAAAUAGGAAAUUGGAGUUUCCCUUGUGUCUCAGCACAUCACACAACCUGACUAGUGUCCAUGAGGAUGUGGGUUCGAUUCCUGGCCUCACUCAGUGGGUUAAGGAUCUGGAGUUGCCAUGAGCUGUGGUGCAGCUCACAGCUGUAGCUUGGAUGCUGCAUUGCUGUGGCUGUGGUGUAGGCCAGCAGCUGCAGGUCCGAUCUGACCCCUAGCCUGGGAGCCUUCAUAUGCCAAGGGUCCCUACAAAGACAAAAGACAAACAAACAAAAAACCUUGUCAUCUAUGGACGUUUUAAAGGCAAGAGCAGAGUUUCUAAAAUUUCUAAUACCGGGAUCACUAAUGCUGAUUUUGCUCAUCCAUUCAGGUUGAAUCGGAUUUAUUUAAUUCUCCAAAUGGGAACGAGCGCAGUCAGUUAGAAUAGCUAUGACCUCACGAGGAAUAUCCUUCCUUUGUGUAAUUCUGUGUCACCUCUCAGCCCUAGUUUUCCUCUACUCAUCACUGCCUUUCCGCUUUGUAUUAGUUAAUUUAACUUAUAUGGGGUUAAUGGAAAAUGUCCCAUGAUUGACUUUGCUUUAUCGUUGCUUCUUUAAGGUUGAUGAGAAUUUUAUCUUGUGCCAUAAGCACUUACAGACGCCAGAAUGGCCACAGGUGAAGAGACUGUUGAGAAUUUCUACCUUGUUAGCAGCAGAGUGAUGGCUCACUUGACUCUGUCAUGGUUACUUCUCUAAAUAAAAGUAUAAUUUCUGACUUUGUGAGUGUGAUACUCUGGGGAAUACAUGCUUAUUGAGAGCUAAAUAGAUUACACCGGCCAUCAAAUGAGACCACUACCCAAGGUCACCUUCUGCAGCAAUACCGUUAAGGAGGAAAAGUAAUAUUGUGUGACAUGUAUAUCCAAGUUAUAACCCAGUGCCCGCAUCUUCAGAAGCAGUAUUGGUUUUCUGAAACUAGUGGAAUUUCAGUAUGUUGGUGAGUUUGUAACCCACGAUUCUCCUUUUAAAUCAGAUGUUUAUUCUCUCUAGAAGUCCAAGAUGUACUUCAACUUGGAAGUCCAGGGGCUUUUUAUGACAUUGCAUACAUUUUAAGGUGAAGGUCCAAUUUUUUUGACUGAAUUGUUUGUCUAACAAAAUCUUUAGACCCCAAAUCUUGACACAUAUCUUUAUUCAGGAUAGGUUUAUACUUCCAUAUUUAAUAGGCAGAAAUUUGGCAUUGGAAAUGCUACUAUAUGUUUGUAUAAUUCAGUACUUAAUUAUAAGAAAGGCUUGAUGACAUAAAUGUAACUUAGGAACAGUAAACUUGGUUUACAACUUUAAACAUUGUUCAUGUAUAAUAUGAAAUAUUUUAGAUUAUAAAGAUGCAUGUGUGUUUGUUUUCUUUUUUCUUUCUGUCUUUCUUUUUUUCUUUUUCUUUUUCUUUUUUUUUUUUUUUUUUGUCUUUUGUCUGUUGUCUUUUUAGGGCCACACCAACAGCAUAUGGAGGUUCCCAGCCUAGGGUUUAAUCAGAGCUGUAGCUGCCGGCCUAUACCACAGCCACAGCAAUGCUGGAUCUGAGCCACCUCUGCAACUCACACCACAGCUCAUGGUAACGCCGGAUCCUUAACCCACUGAGCAAGGCCAGGGAUCAAACCCGAAACCUCAUGGUUCCUAGUUGGAUUCAUCUCUGUUGCACCACGAUGGGAAUUCCUUUCUUUCUUACUCUCUUUCUUUCUCUCCUUUUGCUUUUUAGGGCCACACCUGCAGCAUAUGGAAGUUCCCAGGCUAAGGGUCAAAUUGGAGCUAGAGCCGCUGGCCUGCGACAAACCACGUGGGAUCCGAGCCUCUUCUGUGACCUAUGCCACAGUUCAUGGCCACACCGGGCCCUUAACCCACUGAGCGAGGCCAGGGAUUGAACCUGCGUCCUCAUGGAUACUAGUAAGGUUCAUCCACCUGCUGAGCCACCACAGGAACUCCCUCAUUUUUCUUUUCUAAAUAAACUCAUUCUUUAUAUGUAUAAAAUAUAAAUUUGGGGUUAGGCGUUGGGAAACUGUUGGUGGAUGAAUUCAUAUUCUUAUGUUAUAUCUUGUAUGUAAAUGUGGCUGAUGUGAUGAGCAUUCAGUUGAGAACAUGGUUCAAAACAAUACAUUAAUAUGCAUAGGUUUUCCUCUAAGUGAUGUUUAUUCGAUGUUCUUUAUUACUCAUGCUAUUUACUGUAGUUGAGUCAGACUCUCCUUGUGAGUCUAGUGAAAUCCAAGACUUUAGCAUUACCUGCUCAGCAGGCUCUAAGAAUUAAGUCUGCUUUUUCACUUUGGAAACAUUAAAUGUUUAAAGUCAAUAAAGAUGCUAUUAUGAGUCUAGCACUGGUAUUGUGAAAAUCAGAAACAUGAGGUAGGCCUCAUAUUUCUUUAUGCUCUCACUUCUAUUUCAUAAGUCGUUGGUUUAGUAAUUAUAUAAACAAUAAAGCCCAGUCAGCUAGUUGAUGGGUGCACCUUUGCACAUUUAUGUGGGUGUGUUCAGAAUGCUUGUACUAAUUCCCUUUCUUCUAACCAGGAAUUUUUUAAAUGUAUAUAACAUAUUUCACUGUUACCUCAUUUUGUUUCUUUUAUUCAUUACGAGAAUUUUCAGUGAGGGAAAUGUAUAUAAUUUUGUUAAUGAUUUAAUGGAAAAUAUUGGAAGAAAAAGAUGUAAAUUAGGAGAAAGCUGAAAGAUAAAGUCGAGAAAGUCUUAUGCAAGAAAAGUCAAAAAACUGGAAAACAGAGAGAAAAAACAAAAUUAGAUCAAUCUAGGAAGUCCAGUAUUUUCCAAAUAAGAAUUCCACAAAGAGAGAAGAGAGAUAAUGAAGGGGAGAAAAUAUUAAAGAAACAAUAAAAUUUCCCCGAAUUAGAGCUCAUGUGUUUCUAGAAUGAAAGGGCCCAAAAUAUCCAGCACAAUGAAUGGAAAAGCCCACUCUAAGACACACUGCUACAAUUUCAGAAUAUCAAAGGGAAGAGAACAUGAAGAAGCUGCCAGGGGUGGAAGGGAAAAAAAAAAAUCGGUCAUAUACAAAGAAAUAGGAAUUAAAGUGGCAUUUCUAUCCUUUUUUUUUUUUUUUUUUUUUAAUUUUAGACCAUACCAGCAACAUAUGGGAGUUCCCAGUCUAGGGGUCAAAUUGGAGCUGUAGCUGCCGGCCUAAGCCACAGCCACAGCAACGCCAGAUUUGAGCUGUCUCUGACCUACACUGCAGCUCACAGCGAUGCCAGAUCCUUAAUCCACUGAGCGAGGCCAGGGAUCGAACCCUCAUCCUCAUGGAUACUAGUGUGUUUAUUACUUCUGCUGAGCCACAAAAGUGGCAUUUUUAUUUGUUUUUGUUUUUUUGCCAUUUCUUGGGCCACUCCCAUGGCAUAUGGAGGUUCCCAGGCUAGGGGUCGAAUGGGAAGCUGUAGCCGCCAGCCUACGUCACAGCCACAGCAACGCAGGAUCCGAGCCGCGUCUGCAACCUACACCACAGCUCAUGGCAAGGCUGGAUCCUUCACCCACUGAGCAAGGCCAGGGACAGAACCCGCAACUUCAUGGUUCCUAGUCGGAUUCAUUAACCACUUUGCCACGACGGGAACUCCAAAAGUGGCAUUUCUUAAUAGCAUCAUUGGAACUUAUAAGAAGGUGGAACGAUGGCUUCAAAAUUCUAGGUGCAAACGGGUCUCGAUCUAAAAUUCUAGACCCAGUUUUGGCAGGUGAUACAGGUUGGUGCACUCAACACCCACUCCGCUCUCCUAACAGCAUCCUCUGCCUUUGGCACAAGAAAGCUGAAGACCGUGUUUCCCAGGCUCUCCUGCAGUAGCAGUUCUGCAGGUUACCAAGGACCUGUCAAGCAAACUGACCUGGAAGAGAUUUGGAAGAUGGAGAUGUGUGAAGUGGCAGCUACCCGGGGUAGGAGAGAAGUGAAAGAAAUCCUUCCAUGACCCCCCAAAAAGAGAAAAAAAAAA